rnacentral:sRNA from 1 species
CCACUGUCCCCAGCAAGAACCUGCGGGAGGGUGGCCCAAUGGGGAGAAAACUAAGGAUUCGGUGUCGGGACCACUCCUGCCCUGCCCUGCCCUGCCCUGUGACUCCGUCAUACUCUCCAAAGGCCAGACCCUCCUAGACCAGCUGGAACCACCAUCAAGAUGUCCCCAGCCAUGUCAGACUCUGGGGCCCCAAGCGGAGGGCAACCAGAUGUCUUCAGCUCCAAGUCUGGCCUCUCCUCCCAGCAAGCAGCCACCUCUGAUGGCCAACAGGUGCUGCUGUGUGCCCAGAUCAAGAAUCCACCUCUGUGGAAUUCAAAACCGCUGAGGGUUCUGGGGCAGCAGGGAGGAGAGAGGUGGAGACGCAACAUGGGUUUUCUGUGUUCAGACUGCAGAGACCUUGGAAAGGAUCAACCAUAUACAAUGUCCAUUUCCUGCCCUCUAACCUGGCAGGGGAGCAAGGCCCAGCCAAGGAG